rnacentral:lncRNA from 10 species
GCUGUGGUGGGCUCCACCCAGUUCGAGCUUCCCAGCUGCUUUGUUUAUCUAAGCAAGCCUGGGCAAUGGUGGGCGCCCCUCCUCCAGCCUCGCUGCCGCCUUGCAGUUUGAUCUCAGACUGCUGUGCUAGCAAUCAGUGGGACUCCGUGGGCGUAGGACCCUCCGAGCCAGGUGUGGGAUAUAAUCUUGUGGUGCGCCAUUUUUUAAGCCUGUCGGAAAAGCGCAGUAUUGGGGUGGGAGUGACGCGAUUUUCUUGGAGCCGUCCGUCACCCCUUUCUUUGACUAGGAAAGGGAACUCCCUGACCCCUUGCGCUUCCCGAGUGAGGCAAUGCCUCGCCCUGCUUCGGCUGGCGCACGGUGGGCACACCCACUGACCUGCGCCCACUGUCUGGCACUCCCUAGUGAGAUGAACCCGUUACCUCAGAUGGAAAUGCAGAAAUCACCCGUCUUCUGAGUCGCUCACGCUGGGAGCUGUAGACCGGAGCUGUUCCUAUUUGGCCAUCUUGGCUCCUCAAAUAAGUUGUCUGUUUCUUUGAAAUCUCCCAAGGGGUUUGUGAAGGUACAUUUCAGAAGAUUUCGAAGUCCUGAGCGCUUAGCCGUGCAGGAACAAUGUUAUGAAGACCAGAAAUCUAAAAUAAAGGUGUUGGCAAGACCAUGUCCUCUCUGCAGCCUCUUGGGAAGAAUCCUUCCUUGCCUCCUCCUCUUCUGGUGGUUCUCAUUAUUCCUUGGCUUAUGGCAGGCUCUGCUCCCUUUCAGGCAGUCCUCCAGAGUUGGCUGCACCUAUCUUCUCCAAGGGUUUUCAAGACUGUUGUUCCACAAAGCCAAUGGCCUAUUGGGUCAACGUCCUUCCUUCCCAUCAAUGGAUGUGCUGAUAUCGUGUUCUCUCAGUGGGAGAUAUGAAAUUAACCAGGAAUGGUGAAUUUCACAAUAAAAAACACGAAGGGAUGCUUCCUAGACCUACAAAGGGGGAGACAGUGCACGGAUACCACAAACUUCACGUGCACUGAUAGGACAAUAAACAAAUGCGAAUGCAAAGCACCUUUCAUCUAGACCUAGAACAAACUUCAGCCCAAAGAAGUUGAGUGUUUUUAUUUGUUUUAAAGUAAAUUCUCCCUUCACUUAUUCACUCAGAGCCUCUUGCUCCAUUCAGAGAGGACUUCACUGCUCCAUGCUCAGACCAAGAGCAUCCUUCUUGGGACAUCUCCCACCUAGACUCUCAUGACAGGUAUAUAGCCCAGGUUGAGUGUAGGUUGGGUUAAAAUACCAGGCUCACAUCUUCAUGUCUUCAUACAAAGACACUCAGCCAGGAGGCCUUGCAGGUAAAUUCUGACCAGUCCUCUUAUGAUUGCCGAACAGAGUCACAUUGCCUAAACCUGACCUUAAGGCAGUGUAACUGCUGCUGCAAGUAUUUCUAUACAUAAUACUUUGACCCAUCUCUGGCCCACACACUUGUGCAUGGAUGGAUAUGUAGUGAAAGAACUGUUGGCCUGGGAGUCAGGUCCUCCAAUACCAGCCCUCCUCCUAGUUAGCUCUGUGAAACUAGGAAAGCUCCUUUUCUCUCUGGACUCAGUUUCUUCAUCUAUAACAUGUAUGAGGUGGACUAAGACACUAAAGAUGCUUUCAGCCCUUACAUGCUGCAUUUUCUUUUAAUAUGUAAAAGAAAUUUGCAAGUAAAGUGGAAAGAAUAAUGUAGCACCACUUAUACCCCUACUGCUCAGGGUGAAUGUAUAUGUGUGUAUGUGUGUACACUUUUAACUUGUAUAGGUAAUAUAUUCUCCUUUUUAGUAAAUGAAGAAAUCAAAUCAAGCAUCAACACCUAGGAGACUCUAAGCAGGAUACACUGGCACCUGGCAAGAUACAGUCAUCAACACCUAGAAGGACACGUGGGUCAGGAGUUCCUAAAUGACAGCCCUUGAUCCUGAUUGGUUCACAGGAAUGAUUGGUUUGACCAACAACGAUUUUUAAAGGAUGAAUAUUGAUGCCUUUCAAUGGAGCAUGUCUAUGGGGCCUGGUUCCAUUAGAGCACCCCUCUCCCCAACUUCCUAUUCACCGCAUCACUCACAUUUACAUAUCCCACGAGACCAUCAAAGGCAUUUGAUUUUGUGAAUAUAAAUUUAUUAUGCCUGCCUGAGAACAGAAGUAAUAAGAAUGUUUUCUACCUUUUCAUUUUACCUCCACUAUAGCUCCCAAGAGAUGUUACAUGGACAAGAAGGGCACAAAGAAGUUUAUACUUCCUGCUCUAGAUUAAUUGUAUCCCGAUACAACACAGGAAGGACAUGGGCUUGAAAUGAACAGACUUGGGCCCAGAUUCUAGCUCCAUCAUUUGCUUCUUUAUCCAGAGCCUCCAAUUCAUUUGCCUUCCAGAGUUUCUGCAGUGAUCAGCAAAACCAUCUGACACAGGGGACCACACAGCGGGAACUCAAUAAAUGCUAAUUCCUUCUCUCAUCCUGUUGCAGAGUCAGCCCAAACCUCUCUCCAAUAUCUUCUACAGGGAAAAGAUCUCUUGGGCUCACCCAGGCUGGGCUGUGGUGUGCAAUUCUUCAUUAAGAGAUAUGAAGAGCCCAGAAAUGGAAAAGCUGGAAUAAAGGAAUGCAGAGUGGGGCUGCCUGUUUUGUUCCUUUUGCAAACACACACAAACAUGAUGAUGGGGAGCAGCACCAGGGACAUGUCAAAGAUGACAGCAGCACUGGUCAGGUGCAAAUUGCCCUUCGAAAAAUGCCUAAGGCAGCACAGCUUUUGGCAGUCUUUUUUUUUUUUCUUUUCUAAUCAAGGCAAAGAUUUCUCUAAAAAAGCACAUAGUAAAGGAAGCCAAAGGAAUGUUAGUGCCUGUCUCUAGAAGCCACAUUUAUCUAUUUUUAGUCCCCAGCAAAGCCCAGUACACUGUAAUCAGUAUAAUAACAUGCUGUCUUUCAUAAAGACAGAUGACACAGUUGACCUUCAGUCCCCAUCUGGACACAGGACGUGUGCUGUGGGUUGUUUUGUCAGCUGUGGGCUUGGAUUAUUUGUCUGUACCCUCUCAUCUAGUUUGGAUCAGAACCAGGCAUUUUCAGGAAGACUAGAAAAUAUGAGUGUGGGGUCAACUGGACCUCUGAAAAAAGAAUUGGUAGAUGUGAAGUCUGAAGGCAUCAUGGGUGGAAUUAGUAUGGAAUUUUGCUCAAGUUACUUACUUCUGUAAAGACCUACUGGCCCCUUAUACUUUGUGGAAUAAAAUCUUCACCUUGAUCUUUUUCACCCAAGUUGGUAACUCAAUGCAGUCUUCCUGCUGGACCACUUCCUCAAUCUUGGGACAUCAAAUAUAUACUCUCAACCUCCUUGAACACAAUAAAACUUAACUUUCUCCAGG